ensembl:snoRNA
AUUCUUUUGUAAGGAUCAUAAACGUGAUGAUUGGGUAUUCACAUGCAUGUGUGAGACGUGCCUCUCUCAAACCUUGUUAUGGCUUCGGCACAUUACCUGACGAAGA